rnacentral:snRNA from 1 species
AAAUAAUAAACCUUUGAAA